rnacentral:tRNA from 1 species
GUCAGAAUGGCCGAGUGGUCUAAGGCGCCAGACUCAAGGGUAUCCUUACCUGCAUCAAAGCGGGUGGUGAGCUUUCUGGUCCUCGCAUGAGGGCGUGGGUUCGAACCCCACUUCUGACA